rfam:Chelonia mydas contig75303, whole genome shotgun sequence.
AUACUUACCUGGCAGGGGAGAUACCAUGAUCACAAAGGUAGUUUUCCCAGGGUGAGGCUCAUCCAUUGCACUGCGGGUGUGCUGACCCCUGCCAUUUCCCCAAAUGCAGGAAAAUUGACUACAUAGUUUGUGGUAGUGGGGGGACUGCGUUUGCGCUCUCCCCUG